UGGGGGAGGAGAAGUGUUGGCAUGGGGCGUAGUCGGUGUAGUAGCCACGGUUUGAAUGAAGGAGACGGAAAUAUGUGUUUCUGUGAAUAACAGAUGAGUAGCUGUUCCCGCAGGCAAAACAGGGGAAAACGGAGUGGAAUUGUUUGGUUUAGGGAAGGUGCACGGCCAAAGGAACAGACAAGAAAGUGCGACGAGUACGCCUGUUGUCUAAUAAACUGGGCAGUGUUUUGCAAAAUUUCACGACGUGGAUGUUGAAAAGUGCAUUUUAUUCCAGUCUGGAAAACCCCUGCGCUUGGAUUUUCUUUGUGCCGCAAGGUCCUUAGCAUUCGGAUGUAGCCCCUCGCAAAGAAAGGCAAGUCGCCUAAUUUUUGUAGUCUUUUUUCCCCUCACAGCGAAUUGAGGGAACGACGCCUGUCUUCGCUUUGUGUUUUUCACCUUUUAACUUUUGGAGCCAAGUAAAACUCAUUUUAAGCGUCGCAUUGUCCUGUCCGCGUCGCUGUGCUCUAAGCCUGCAGUAAUUUAAUAGUUCUUGGCGUAUUGGUGGAUAGGGUUAUUGGAAUACGGUGAACUCGGUGCUGACAUGCAAACAAAAUGGAACCGGAUUGAUGAACCCUGCUGGGUAUUCUUUCAUUUCCUUUGUGUGGAGUCUCGUCAAAUUGUUUCUUAAACCCAAAUACUUGAUUUCAAUAAAAUAAUUCUUAAUGUUUCCACUCA